rnacentral:rRNA from 1 species
UGGGGAAUAUUGCACAAUGGGCGAAAGCCUGAUGCAGCAACGCCGCGUGAGUGAUGAAGGCCUUCGGGUUGUAAAGCUCUGUCUUCUGGGACGAUAAUGACGGUACCAGAGGAGGAAGCCACGGCUAACUACGUGCCAGCAGCCGCGGUAAUACGUAGGUGGCAAGCGUUGUCCGGAUUUACUGGGCGUAAAGGAUGCGUAGGCGGAUACUUAAGUCAGAUGUGAAAAUCCCGGGCUUAACUUGGGAACUGCAUUUGAAACUGGGUAUCUAGAGUGCGGGAGAGGAAAGUGGAAUUCCUAGUGUAGCGGUGAAAUGCGUAGAGAUUAGGAAGAACACCAGUGGCGAAGGCGACUUUCUGGACCGUAACUGACGCUGAGGCUCGAAAGCGUGGGGAGCAAACA